GAUGAAGAACGUAGCGAAAUGCGAUAAGUAAUGUGAAUUGCAGAAUUCAGUGAAUCAUCGAAUCUUUGAACGCACAUUGCGCCCAUUAGUAUUCUAGUGGGCAUGCCUGUUCGAGCGUCAUUAAUUCCACUUAAGCCCUGCUUAGUGUUGGGAAUCUACUCUAGUGGUGCUACCCUGGAGCUACCCCUGAAAGGGGGCUGGCCCGGUAGCUACCCUGUAGUUCCUCAAAGAUAGUGCGCGGAGUUGCGUGGUCCUCUGAGCUUAGUAACUAUACACCUAGCUUUUGAGUGUCCCGCGGCGCCUGCCGUUUAAACCCCAUCUUUUAAUGGUUGACCUCGGAUCAGGUAGGAAUGCCCGCUGAACUUAAGCAUAUCAAUAAGCGGAGGA
rnacentral:misc_RNA from 1 species